UACGUAGGGUGCUAGCGUUGUCCGGAUUUAUUGGGCGUAAAGAGCGUGUAGGCGGCCAGGUAGGUCCGGUGUGAAAACUCGAGGCUUAACCUCGAGAUGUCAUCGGAAACCAUCUGGCUAGAGUCCGGAAGAGGAGAGUGGAAUUCCUGGUGUAGCGGUGAAAUGCGCAGAUAUCAGGAAGAACACCUAUGGCGAAAGCAGCUCUCUGGGACGGUACUGACGCUGAGACGCGAAAGCGUGGGGAGCGAACAGG
rnacentral:rRNA from 1 species